AUACGGAGGAUGCGAGCGUUAUCCGGAUUUAUUAGGUUUAAAGGGUGUGUAGGCGGUAUUUUAAGUCAGUGGUGAAAUCUUUCAGCUUAACUGAGAAACUGCCAUUGAUACUGGAAUACUUGAGUAUAUUUGAGGUAGGCGGAAUAUGUAAUGUAGCGGUGAAAUGCAUAGAUAUUACAUAGAACACCGAUUGCGAAGGCAGCUUACUAAACUAUUACUGACGCUGAUGCACGAAAGCGUGGGGAGCGAACAGGAUUAGAAACCCUAGUAGUCC
rnacentral:rRNA from 1 species